GACGAACGCUGGCGGCGUGCUUAACACAUGCAAGUCGAACGGAAAGGCCUGCUUUCCCUUGUGGAUUGCGGGUACUCGAGUGGCGAACGGGUGAGUAACACGUGAGUGAUCUGCCCCCAACUUGGGCAUAAGCCUGGGAAACUGGGUCUAAUUCCCGAUAGGACUGCAGGGUGGUGCCUGUGGUGGAAAACGAUUUUCUAGUGGUUGGGGAUGAGCUCGCGGCCUAUCAGCUUGUUGGUGGGGUAAUGGCCUACCAAGGCGGCGACGGGUAGCCGGCCUGAGAGGGUGGACGGCCACAUUGGGACUGAGAGACGGCCCAGACUCCUACGGGAGGCAGCAGUGGGGAAUAUUGCACAAUGGGCGGAAGCCUGAUGCAGCGACGCCGCGUGGGGGAUGACGGCCUUCGGGUUGUAAACUCCUUUCGACCGCGAGGAAGCCACCUGGUUGGAAGGGUGGUGACGGUAGUGGUAGAAGAAGCACCGGCUAACUACGUG
rnacentral:rRNA from 1 species